CGCUUUUGGAGGGGGGUGCGUCCUAUCAGGUAGUUGGUGUGGUAAUAGCUCACCAAGCCUAUGACGGGUAGCCGGUCUGAGAGGAUGUCCGGCCGCAAUGGAACUGAGACACGGUCCAUACUCCUACGGGAGGCAGCAGUGGGGAAUCUUGCGCAAUGGGCGAAAGCCUGACGCAGCAAUCCCGCGUGAAGGAUGAAGCAUUAUGGUGUGUAAACUUCUUUUCUGGUGGAAGACGAAUGACGGUACACCAGGAAUAAGGGACGGCUAACUACGUGCCAGCAGCCGCGGUAAUACGUAGGUCCCAAGUGUUAUCCGGAAUUACUGGGCGUAAAGAGUCUGUAGCCGGGUUUGUAAGUCUGUUUUCAAAUCCUAUGGCUUAACCAUAGAGAGGGAAUGGAUACUGCAAACCUUGAGAUUAUUGGGGGUUGAUGGAAUUUCCGGUGGAGCGGUGAAAUGCGUUGAUAUCGGAAGGAACGCCAAAAGUGAAAGCAGUCAACUACAAUAAAUCUGACGGUCAGAGACGAAAGCUUGGGGAGCAAACGGGAUUAGAUACCCCGGUAGUCCAAGCCGUAAAUUAUGCAUGCUAGGUGUCUUGUUCACUUUAUGUGAGCGGGGUGCCGUAAUCUAACGAGUUAAGCAUGCCGCCUAGGUAGUAUAUUCGCAAGAAUGAAACUCAAAGGGAUAGGCGGGGGAACACACAAGCAGUGGAUUGUCUCGAUUAAUUGGAUAAUAAGCCAAGAAUCUUACCUAGACUUGACAUAUAUUGUGUCCUACGUGAAAGUGUAGUAAUCCCGAUUUUGUCGGGAUACGAUAUACAGGUGUGCAUGGUCGUCGUCAGCUCGUGCCGCAAGAUGUCCAGUUAAGUCUGGGAACGAGCGCAACCCUCGUUGUUAGUUA
rnacentral:rRNA from 1 species